AUUGAACGCUGGCGGCAUGCCUUACACAUGCAAGUUGAACGGCAGCGCGGACUUCGGUCUGGCGGCGAGUGGCGAACGGGUGAGUGAUACAUCGGAACGUACCCUGUUGUGGGGGAUAACUAGUCGAAAGAUUAGCUAAUACCGCAUACGACCUGAGGGUGAAAGUGGGGGACCGCAAGGCCUCACGCAGCAGGAGCGGCCGAUGUCUGAUUAGCUAGUUGGUGGGGUAAAGGCCCACCAAGGCGACGAUCAGUAGAUGGUCUGAGAGGACGAUCAACCACACUGGGACUGAGACACGGCCCAGACUCCUACGGGAGGCAGCAGUGGGGAAUUUUGGACAAUGGGGGCAACCCUGAUCCAGCAAUGCCGCGUGUGUGAAGAAGGCCUUCGGGUUGUAAAGCACUUUUGUCCGGAAAGAAAUCGCGCUGGUUAAUACCUGGCGUGGAUGACGGUACCGGAAGAAUAAGCACCGGCUAACUACGUGCCAGCCGCCGCAGUAA
rnacentral:rRNA from 1 species